AUUGAGCGCUGGCGGCAUGCUUUACACAUGCAAGUCGAACGGCAGCACGGGUGCUUGCACCUGGUGGCGAGUGGCGAACGGGUGAGUAAUACAUCGGAACGUGCCCUAUCGUGGGGGAUAACGCAGCGAAAGUUGCGCUAAUACCGCAUACGCCCUGAGGGGGAAAGCGGGGGACCGUAAGGCCUCGCGCGAUUGGAGCGGCCGAUGUCUGAUUAGCUUGUUGGUGAGGUAAAGGCUCACCAAGGCAACGAUCAGUAGCUGGUCUGAGAGGACGAUCAGCCACACUGGGACUGAGACACGGCCCAGACUCCUACGGGAGGCAGCAGUGGGGAAUUUUGGACAAUGGGGGCAACCCUGAUCCAGCAAUGCCGCGUGAGUGAAGAAGGCCUUCGGGUUGUAAAGCUCUUUUGUCAGGGAAGAAACAGCAGCUUUAAUACAGCAUGCGAAUGACGGUACCUGAAGAAUAAGCACCGGCUAACUACGUGCCAGCAGCCGCCGUAA
rnacentral:rRNA from 1 species